AGAAUUAUAAAUAUUUGUGAAAUUUACACAGCAAACAAUAAUUUUAUAGUCAAAACAAAAAUAAUCA
rnacentral:misc_RNA from 1 species